UGUGGUCCGAUCAUACUUUAACAAUUACAGACAAACACAAUAAACUAAAAUAAUAACACAAACAAUCAUACUUUUCACAUUUUUACUGAAUACACUGAGUAAUCAUUAAAAGUGCAGCAUGGAGAAUGUACAAAAGGCCCUCAAUGAAUCAAGUAUGUAUAUAGUUAAUUCGGAAGCAUUACCUACUAUGUCCAGUACGUGGCAGUAUACCCUCACUUACGUUCAUUGCAAGUGUUGCAUCAGCCGUAGCUGCGAUUGCGUUAUGAGGAAAUUACCAUAAGCUCCGGUCAGAUGUGGACUGUUAUCGCUUGGUUCCUGCUAAAUUCACCUGUUCUGAUUAUUCCUGAGUGGUUUUAGUUGGUGUGCGUCAAUGACGAUAUGUAAGUGCACUGUUUAUUAUUAAUGUUACUUUGAGAUUGUGUCUAGUCACUGUUUAAUGCCGUGAUAUGUGACGAUUCAUCCUAAUGCUAAGCUAAUCUUGACUGGUAGUGAAAGACAUCAUUUGUACGAAGUUUGUUAAGCAUUAAGCGAUUAUUCACGGUGACUAUUCAUUCUGUAAUCUUAAUCAAUGGCUGCAGUUGACUACUUCAUGAAGCAGAUUGCUGUUCUGUUGCUAAUAUAUAUUAUCCUAAUGUUAGUUUAAUAUUGUUCUAAUGUCUUAGUGUGUGAGCAUAAUACUGUACUAUUUGGGAUGAUAAUAUUACAGUUAGUAAUUAUUCCUUCUUUCUGUUCAUUUUAGAACCACAUCCAUAUAUAUCUAAUUGUAUAGAUUGGAACCACAGAAAGAAAUACCUGUAUGCCAUACCGUGCUGAUUGCUGAUUCUGACUCCUAAACAUCCAAGUAAACCUACAUCAACCUGAUACUGUCUCCCUGAGUCGUGACUGACAUCCUGUAGCGAAUGCAACAUAUUACCAGUUAACUAAUUCAAUCCUGUCUCUUCCGAACAUUGUGGUCCUUCGAGCCGGAUGUGAUUUGCUACAGUGACAGCAUGGUUGAUGAGCAUCAGAGAGGAACUGUUCCAGAGGCCGUACGGCCAAAACGCCAGACACGUCACCCUGCCUGCUUUGAUGAUUUUGAAGUGAACUAUGGAGGUUAUCAGCCACGUAACAAACAUCCUUAUAGCACAGCACGGUAUGAGCACAGACAAAACCAGGAAUUCAGUGAGAGCAGAGGAGGUACACAACAGAUGGCACAUCGUACCCCACCUAAAGAAUCAAACUCAUCAUCAGAGUCAACUUCAUAUCCCUGCCUUCCAGAUUCAAGAGCUCAGUCCUUCGGAGCCUCCCAGUAUCGGACUGAUACUAGAAAGCUACCUGAAGCUUCUACUCCCUUCCAUGAGCAGACCGCUAAUGUUAUGUAUGCCCCCUACAGUCCACUCAAGGUUCAAAUAAGUACCAGUGCUCCACCUACCUUGUAUGGAAAGGGUGCUUCGCUUGACUCGCAUGCUUCUCCUUCAUAUGUGGGUUCCCCUGAUCCUUAUUCACUGCCAGCUAGAACUCCACAUUAUUCACAUUAUAUUGUGAGUCAUGGUGCUAAUGACCCAAGUUACCCACCUCAGCAGCAGAGAGCCUCCCUAACUGAGCCACAAAGCAUGAUGGUUUUGAUUGACAAAAUGAUGGGUCAGUUACAGCUAAUGAAAGAAGAAGUUGCGUCAAAGCAUGGCACCCCUAGCAGGGCACCACAGACUUAUAAAGAGCCACCUCCUGUGCAUUAUGAAUACCCUGACCAACAAUAUGCUGCUGACCGAGUUUAUGGGCCAGUUGACCGAUUCCAGAGCGGCUACGUGCCUGCGCCGAGAUCAAAGAUCGAUAUGUACCAUCACUCAGUACCCCUACCUACUCAGAAACCCAAGCCUUCUUGGGCAGAGCAGCCUUCCAUUCAGCUAAAGGAGUCAGCUGCAGAAUACCGUGGUCCUAAGCCCAGUAUACCCUACCUGGUGCAUAAAGAUCCAAGCGAGUUUGCUCGCCUGAAGCUUGCGCUCCACAAUCUGCUACCUGAAGAUGCGUCAGAGUUGUUCAAGUUCCAGAUCUUGGUGGACCAUCUGCAAUUGGAAGAGGCAAGACUGAUUGCGGAUUCUUUCCUUAACUCUCCAUAUCCUUAUACAGAGACAAUGGCUGUCUUGACAGAGAAAUUUGGUAAGCCUCACCAACUUGCUUUGAGUAAGAUUGCUCGAGUAAUGGAUGCACCAGAUGUCCGUCCAGGAGACCCUGAAGCCUUCGAAAGGUUUGCAUUACAAGUUCAAGCCCUGGUAGGACUGCUGAAAUCCCUGGGACCAGAUGGGGAUGCCGAAUUGACGUGCGGUUCUCAUGUGGUUCGCCUGCUGACCAAGCUGCCACCUGAUUUAAGAGCUGCUUUCAGGAGACAAAUGCUGCCUAGUCAAUCCUCAAGCUUUACACUUCCAGAGUUCUCCAAAUGGUUGCAAGCUGAAUCAUGGUGUCAAAGUAGUGAUGUGGUGGGAAACAUUCAGAUGAAAGGUUGGCCAAAGCAAAGGUCUGAUAAACACAAAGAGCUAAGGUCAAGACCAGCUACUGUACUGCAUGGAGCAGGCAGCCCUGUCACAAAUACAACUUCCUCCCCAAUCAAACCUGCCACUUUGCCAGAGAACAAGGUGAAAAUUAAAACCUAUUGUCCCUAUUGUGAGAAGGCAGACCAUUUCCUUAGUCAGUGCGUCAACUUCCAGCAGCUCACGACAGAACAAGUGAAGCAAUGGAUUCAGACUAACAAACGCUGUUGGAAGUGUGGAAGGUCACAUUUAUCUGCACAGUGCAACCUGAAGAAACCCUGUAACAAGUGUAAAGGGAAACAUUUGCUGAUACUCCAUGACAUCAAUUACAAGUCAGUCAAAGAUAAUUCCCCAGCAUCAAGUUCCACUGCGGAAACCUUAUACCUGGACAAACCUGGAACAGAUAGCCGGGUCCUGCUCAAGGUAGUCAGAGUUCUGCUGAAAUAUAAUAACCGCACCUUGGACACUUAUGCUAUCCUAGACGAUGGAUCCGAACGCACCAUCUUAUUGUUUGCUGCAGCCCAGACACUGAAUCUGAAAGGGGAAGAGGAGAAGCUAUCCAUUAGAACCAUCCAUCAGAAAGUGUCGCAACUGCAAGGCUCAAAGGUUUCAUUCAGCAUCUCUCCAGUGGCGCAACCACAUAAGACAUACCAUAUCAAGCAAGCCUUCACAGCCGACCACCUGGGGUUAGCUCAACAAUCCUAUCCUAUGGAGGCCCUUGUAAGUAAGUACAAACACCUAAAGGGACUUCCUAUCCAGUCCUUUGAGAAGAUUCACCCACUCUUGCUGAUUGGUGCUGAUCAGCCUCAUCUAAUCACUCCAAUCGAGCCAGUUAACCUGGGACCACCUGGCGGGCCAGCCGCCAUCAAAACAAGACUGGGUUGGACACUACAGGGCCCAGCGAAGCUUCUUCUGAAUCCUCUUCAUCCUCAGCAGGUCCUUUUCACCUCUUUGUUACCCAAGCAUACAGAGCUGAUGAGAAAUGUCACAAAGCUAUGGGAACUGGACAUUCUCCCCUAUCGUAAUGAGAAACAGGUCACUCGCUCCAGAGAGGAUCAGGCGGCCCUUGAAAUCCUGAACAAAGGAACUGUGAGAGUUGAAGUAAAUGGCAUUCAGAGGUAUGCCACCCCACUGUUGCGUAAAUCCAGUAUGGCUUGUCUUAACGCCUCCGAAGAAGCAGUAAUGCCACUCCUUCGUAGAACUGAAAGGCAUCUCUUGAAAGACCCAGAACGAGCAGCCACCUAUUCUGCAGAGAUCAAGAAAUUGUUGGAGGAAGGUUAUGUGGCCAAACUUGAUCCAGACAAACCACCACAGAGCCUUGAGCGGUGGUUCAUCCCACAUCAUAUGGUCAUGCACAAUGACAAAAAUCGACUGGUAUUCAACUGCUCGUUCCAGUACGAUGGAAUGAACCUAAAUGAGUCCCUACUACCUGGCCCAGUACUAGGUCCGUCACUCCUUGGAGUCCUGAUAAGAUUCAGGGAGCAUUCUGUAGCGGUGAGUGGGGACGUGAAAGGAAUGUUCCAUCAAGUCCGACUUCUGGAACAGGACAGACCUAUCCUGCGAUUCCUUUGGAGAGAUAUGGAACGAGACAGAGAACCGGACAUCUAUGAAUGGCAGGUGCUCCCAUUCGGCACUACUUGCAGCCCUUGCUGUGCUUCCUAUGCCCUGCAUAAACAUGUCCUUGACAACACGGAGUCGGGUGAUGACCUGCAAUUCACUAUUCAAAGGAGCUUCUAUGUUGACAACUGUCUUCAGAGCCUGAACACAGCUGAUGAGGCCAGAGGGCUGAUUGACCGACUCAGAAAGCUACUGGCAAGUGGAGGAUUUAACAUCCGGCAGUGGGCUUCAAACCAACCUGGAGUAGUAAGCCAUCUACCUAAGGAAGCUCAGUCUACCAGUACCGAACUGUGGUUGUCACAAAGGGAAACUGAAGUUCCUGAAUCCACUCUGGGUCUGCACUGGCACUGUCCCACAGACACUCUUAGGUACAAGCACCGUCCCUUAGAGUAUGGACUACCCACAAUGCGCAAUUUAUAUCGGGUUCUCGCCAGUCAAUAUGACCCAUUGGGCUUCAUUCUCCCCUACACGACCAGAGCGAAGAUCCUAGUUCAGAAACUGUGGGCUAAGCCGAGAGAAUGGGACGAUCCUCUAUUUCCUGAUGAACUUUUGCAGAGCUGGCUACAGUGGGAGGCUGAACUUAAGUCUCUUUCCUCCAUUACCUUUCCUAGAUGCUAUGUGACUCCAGAAAUGGACAAUGAUUCUGUAGGGAGAGAGAUACAUGUGUUCUGUGAUGCAUCUGAAAGGGCCUAUGGUGCAGUCUCAUACCUGAGAACAGAGAACAGUCAAGGCAAGGUACAGUUAGCAUUCCUAAUCGCACGCUCCCGAGUUGCACCCAAGAAACAGUUGUCAGUUCCCAGACUUGAACUCUGUGCCGCACUCUGUGGAGCUCAGUUAGCAGAGAUGCUAAGGAAAGAACUUACACUUGAAUAUCACAGGAUUACCUUGUGGUCCGAUUCCACCACAGUACUUAAUUGGUUGCAGUCAGAGUCCUGCCGGUUCAAAGUCUUUGUUGGCACCAGGGUUGCAGAGAUACAAGAAACCACAAAUCCACAGGAUUGGAGGUACGUGGACUCUGCUCUGAAUCCUGCGGAUGAUCUAACAAAGGGAAAAUCGCUUGCGGACCUAGCCACUCCAAACAGAUGGAGCAAUGGACCCCCGUUCCUUUUAAUGCACUCUGAUCACUGGCCAAAGAGCCCUGCUGCCAGCUGUCUGAAAGAUGACUCAGAGUUACGCAAGUCAACAUUUUGCGCCCUAAAUGUAGUGACCUCCAAAGCAGAAAUUCCUGAUGCCAGCCAGUCUACAACUUACAGAGAAUUACUGGAAGCUACUGCACGAUGUGUCCAUGGGGUGGCAAAUGGAGAACCACUAACAGCUGGAGACUUCCUACAAGCAGAAAUCCUUCAGUGGAGAGCAUCUCAGCUGGAUAGUUUCUUUGAUGACUUCCAAUGCCUGAAACAAGGUAAACCUCUCCCUUCUAACAGUAAACUACUCACCUUGAGUCCAGAGCUGGAUAAAGAGAUGGAUGUUAUUCGAGUGGGGGGAAGACUUCGACGAGCCGAAGCACUCGACAUAGCAACUAAGCACCCAAUUGUCCUUGACCCUAGUCAUGCCCUUACCAAGCUCAUCAUUCAAGAUUAUGAUAACCAGUUGAAACAUCCUGGCCCAGAGAGAGUCCUGGCUGAAGUCAGAAGGAAGUUUUGGAUUCUGCGUGGCAGAGAGGCCAUCCGCAAUCACCAGUUUCGAUGCACUGACUGUCGGAGAUGGAGAGCCAGCCCAGAAAUCCCACAAAUGUCAGACUUACCUGUAGCUCGACUUCAAUUAUUUAAGCCUGCAUUUUAUUCCACAGGGAUGGAUUGCUUUGGGCCCUUCUCAGUAAAGAUUGGACGGAGAGUGGAGAAAAGAUGGGGAAUAAUUUGGAAGUGUUUGACAACCAGAUGCAUCUACUUAGACAUACUAGCAAGUAUUGACUCUGAUUCCUUCCUUAUGGCAUUUAGGAGGUUUGCGGCACGUAGAGGAACACCCUUCGAACUUUGGUCUGAUCAAGGGACUAAUUUUAAAGGCGGGGAGAGAGAAUUGCAUGAAGCCUUCAAAAGUAUGUCACCUGAGUUACAGCUACAGUUAGCGAAGCAGAAAGUUCACUUCCGCUUCAACCCACCUGGAGCCCCUCAUUUCGGAGGAGCAUGGGAACGGGAGAUACGAUCUGUAAAAUCANNNNNNNNNNNNNNNNNNNNNNNNNNNNNUGGAGAAUGUACAAAAGGCCCUCAAUGAAUCAAGUAUGUAUAUAGUUAAUUCGGAAGCAUUACCUACUAUGUCCAGUACGUGGCAGUAUACCCUCACUUACGUUCAUUGCAAGUGUUGCAUCAGCCGUAACUGCGAUUGCGUUAUGAGGAAAUUACCAUAAGCUCCGGUCAGAUGUGGACUUUUAGCGCUUGGUUCCUGCUAAAUUCACCUGUUCUGAUUAUUCCUGAGUGGUUUUAGUUGGUGUGCGUCAAUGACGAUAUGUAAGUGCACUGUUUAUUAUUAAUGUUACUUUGAGAUUGUGUCUAGUCACUGUUUAAUGCCGUGAUAUGUGACGAUUCAUCCUAAUGCUAAGCUAAUCUUGACUGGUAGUGAAAGACAUCAUUUGUACGAAGUUUGUUAAGCAUUAAGCGAUUAUUCACGGUGACUAUUCAUUCUGUAAUCUUAAUCAAUGGCUGCAGUUGACUACUUCAUGAAGCAGAUUGCUGUUCUGUUGCUAAUAUAUAUUAUCCUAAUGUUAGUUUAAUAUUGUUCUAAUGUCUUAGUGUGUGAGCAUAAUACUGUACUAUUUGGGAUGAUAAUAUUACAGUUAGUAAUUAUUCCUUCUUUCUGUUCAUUUUAGAACCACAUCCAUAUAUAUCUAAUUGUAUAGAUUGGAACCACAGAAAGAAAUACCUGUAUGCCAUACCGUGCUGAUUCUGACUCCUAAACAUCCAAGUAAACCUACAUCAACCUGAUACUGUCUCCCUGAGUCGUGACUGACAUCCUGUAGCGAAUGCAACAUAUUACCAGUUAACUAAUUCAAUCCUGUCUCUUCCGAACAGAGAAAGUAAGUGAGCUUUGAAUUUACUAGCUUGUAGAUUCAGCAGCAAAACCAUCAAAUGUUUUCCGUCGCUGCCUUUAAGACUUCUUACCAAUUUUGGUUAAUC
ensembl:lncRNA